rnacentral:tRNA from 1 species
GCAGUGGUGGUUCAGUGGCAGAAUUUUCGCCUUCCAUGCAGGAGACCUGGGUUCGAUUCCCAGCCGAUACA